rnacentral:lncRNA from 1 species
CAUAUGUUUCUUUUAAAUAUUCAUGGAGGUGGUUAACCCUCAACAAGUUACCUGUUGGCCCGGUGGUUGAAACAUCCAUUGUUUCCCUCUAUGUCCUCUGUCAAUCCUUGGCAUUGGCAAUCUUGAAUUUUUUAAUUUUAUUUAACAUGUACUAUUGAAACAUCUUUAAUUACUUUUCUUUUCUCUUAUCCUAAAUUUAACUUAACCAUUUUUAUAUCCUCCAUUUAAUUCAAAUUAU